rnacentral:lncRNA from 1 species
UUCCGUCAAGUUUAUGGAUGAGGUUUUCUGGUAAAACAUAAAUGUUAUAAGCACUUUGGACUCUCCUAAGGAUUCCUUUUGUGGGGAUAAAAUAGGCUGCAUAGAAACUCAUUUCCUCCCACACCCCCUCCACCUUAGACACACACAUGCACAUACACAGGUCUGUAUAUACUUCAAAAAAUGUUAAUACAGAACUAUCCACCCAAGCCCCACUCCUGUAUUUUUCUUUCCCCAGUUUCAGUUACCUACAGUCAACUGCCAUCCAAAAAUAUUAAAUGGAAAUAAACAAUUCAUUAUCUUUAAAUUGUGUGCCGUCCUGAGUAGUAUGCUGAAAUCUCACACUAUCCCACCCAGGAUGUAAAUCCUCCUUUUGUCCAGGGCAUCCCACCAGCUAGUCACCUGGUAGGCAACUUGGUUAUCAGAUCAACUGAGAUGGUACCAGAGUGCUUAUGUUCAAGUCACCUUAUUUUAUGUAAUAAUGGUCCCAAAGCACAAGAGUAGUGAUGCUGCAAAUUGGAUCUGCCAAAGAGAAGCUGUGAAGUGUUCCCCUUAAUUGAAAAGGUGAAAGUUCUCAACUUACUAAGGAAAAAAAAAUCAUAUGCUGAGAUUGCUAAGAUCUAUGGCAAGAAUGAAUCUUCUAUCUGUGAAAUUGUGAAGGAAAAAGGAAUUCAUUCUCGUUUUGCUGUCAUACCUCAAACUGCAAUAGCUAUGGCCACAGUGCAGGAUAAGUGCUUAGUUAAGAUGCAAAAGUACUCCUGCUCAUUGGGCAUAACAGCUGGAGCUAUCUAAACCUAAUCAGAGCCAUGCUCUUAUGACCAUUAGCCGCCUCACAGAAACAUGUGACAGCCCUUUCUAAGAUACUACCAGUUCAUCUCCAGCCUCAGCAGCCAGUAGGGAGUGCUCAUACACUGUACAACUUCAGACUUUUGCCUUUCUGUUUAGGAGCCCUCCCCUUCCUGGGGGACCCACCCUUUGUGUUCCCUGUGUGUGAGUCUGGUGGGUCCCAGGCUUAUCAGCACCCAGACCAGAGCUGGCACCUGUAACUGGAGCCUUGCCUAUUGCCUGCCAGUAUUCGGCCUCUGCUGGUGCUUUAGGCAUAUCAGCACUUGGAACAAUGGAGCUUUCGCCCCAAAGACUGGCCUUUUCAUAAAGCUGAGCUUCUCUUAUUCACCAAAAUGUCAGGUGCCCUACAUUUUUUUCAGAUGCUUCGUUCAAAGUACAUUGAUAGUGUCUUAUCUGGUUUAAAUAUUGACAGAAAAACUUGCAUUCUCAGACUUAAUUUCUGGCUUGUGCCCCCAGGUACUUUCAUUUUUAAAAGACUUGUGUAAAAAUGAUUAUCGUUAUUCAGCCAUAGGACCCAAAUUUCUUGUGAAAGUAAUGAUGGAGCUUAACUUUCUUUUAGAUUUGACAAAUUGACCACAGUACUAUCUCCCAGAUGAAAUGUUUUACUCCCAUCCCAAGUAUCUCAGCCUGUAAUCUAUACCCCAGCUUUGUUACCAUUGAAGACAGGUGGGAAGUGUGUGUGAAGAGGGUCCCUUGUUUUGCACAGUUAAGAAUAAUGCCCCUAGAAAAGAAAGUGAAGGUAGGUUGAGGGUGCACUUAUCUCUUCCAUGGAAGAAAACAUGUAAAUGAACCAUUUGAAUUUUAAAUGGAAUUUUAGUGACUUUUCCUUCCUUCUUAAACUUCCUAAUAUGAUUUCUGUAAUGAUUUUCUGUUUUCUUUCUUAAUAGAACUUAAAUGGCAAAGAAAUGAUAGGCUAUUUUUGAUUUAGGAAAAAAAUGAAAAUCUUUUUUAUGGGAACUUUCUUUUUAAAUCCUUUAGGGAAUAGAUAAUGGCGACAACAAAAAAAGUUUUCCUUUUCAGGGGGCUAGAUGAUUAGUGUAUGUGCUUUUAAUAUGUAUUUACUUACUUAGUUGAUUGUCUGUUUAUUUUAAGAAAACAAGAAAGGAAGGAAGAAAUGAAAAACUCUAGUGCCAGAGUAAUUUUUUUUAUAUUUAUAGAAUCGUAGGGCUGGAAAGGAGCUCGAUGAAAGGGUUAUGACUUUGCAUCAUUCCCGCUUUAAAGAUGUGGAUGCUGAGACCCAAAGAUGUUUUAUAACAUGAACAAAGGUACACAACAGGGUUGUUGCAGAGCCAGGCCUAAAUUGAGGUCUGACUUUCAAUUCAAGCAAUACUCACUCAGAAAUUACAUUACUUUUUAAGACUUUCUUUGAAACAAAGAUAGUUUUACUUGAAUAACUUACACACCGAUGUGCUUAAAUCUAAUAGAACAUUUGCUUUUGGGAAAACAGAGUCUGCGCAUUGCCUGAGUCAACUCAAGAAUGCACAUUUGAACAGUUUGGAGGCAUUUCUUCCCAAGCUGUAUUUUACCUGAGUCGUAUAAGGACCCAUUAUAAUUUCAGUUAUCUCUUUUCUCUUAUAAGAUUUCAAAGAAACACUUUCUCCAUUUCCACUUUGGUGCCUGAAAACAUGUAUUUUUAAAUGGGUCUGUUUCUUUAAUAAGUAUUCAUUUAGGUAGGUCAUACUCUAAUGUUGUUGGAAAUAAAAAAAAUCUUUUAUCAGUUGAAAGAAAUCUGUUUUUUAUUCCCACUUUUCCCCAUGUUUUAGUCGGUCUUUGUAAUCUUCAGUUUCAACAAAACGCUAAGUUAAAACAUCAAUGCUUUUGUUGUUUUGGUUCUUUUAGUUUAACAUGAGGGAAAAUUUUAAAAUGCCUUUACCUUUUUGCAGCUAUGAUAAUUAUAUACUCUAUUUUUUAUUUAUGCAAAACUUAUUUUUGAGGGUUUUCUUUUUGUUUCAUUUCUCUAUUUUUGCAUUUUCCAAACAUCUGUACCAUGGCUGGUGGUGAGAGAGCAGGGGCUGGCACUUUUCCUCCACAUUUUGAGAGAAAGAGAAUUGGCUGGAAUAAAACCUUGCUUUCCAUAUGGUUGACUUGAAAUCCAGCAUUAAAAAGGUAUCGUCUCUUUUUCUUUUCUGAAACCAGCGGUGAAGCCCAGAAACAAAUGACAAUAUCAAUGCCAAAGCACCUGUUGAUUCACAUCAAAAAAGUCCUUGGUAGUGCUUCCCCCACGCCAUCAGUUGAAAAACCUUAAUGGAUGAAUGGUCUUUGUGCACUGGUAGCAUCAUAUCAACAAUACAUGCUGCUGGUCAUUCAUUUAAGAAAGUUUAGAUUCUACAUGUAGUAAAGAAAUGAAUUUAAAGUUCUGCUUUUG